UACAGAGGGGGCAAGCGUUGUUCGGAAUUACUGGGCGUAAGGCGCGUAGGCGGCCUCUUAAGUCGAACGUGAAAUCCCCGGGCUCAACCCGGGAACUGCGUCCGAUACUGGGGGGCUUGAAUCCGGGAGAGGGAUGUGGAAUUCCAGGUGUAGCGGUGAAAUGCGUAGAUAUCUGGAGGAACACCGGUGGCGAAGGCGGCAUCCUGGACCGGUAUUGACGCUGAGGCGCGAAAGCCAGGGAGCAAAGCGGGAU
rnacentral:rRNA from 1 species